rnacentral:rRNA from 1 species
AGCGUGGAGACAGGUGGUGCAUGGCUGUCGUCAGCUCGUGUCGUGAGAUGUUGGGUUAAGUCCCGCAACGAGCGCAACCCUCACCCUUUGUUGCCAUCAGGUUAUGCUGGGCACUCUAAGGGAACUGCCUCGGUUAACGAGGAGGAAGGUGGGGAUGACGUCAAGUCAUCAUGCCCCUUACGCUCUGGGCUACACACGUGCUACAAUGGCCAAUACAAAGGGCUGCAAACCCGCGAGGGUAAGCCAAUCCCAAAAAAUUGGUCUCAGUUCAGAUUGUAGGCUGCAACCCGCCUGCAUGAAGGAGGAAUCGCUAGUAAUCGUGGAUCAGCAUGCCACGGUGAAUACGUUCCCGGGCCUUGUACACACCGCCCGUCACACCACGAAAGCCAGCUGUACUCGAAGUCGCUGAG